CCUACGGGUGGCAGCAGUGGGGAAUAUUGCACAAUGGGGGAAACCCUGAUGCAGCGACGCCGCGUGAGUGAAGAAGUAUUUCGGUAUGUAAAGCUCUGUCAGCAGGGAAGAAAAUGACGGUACCUGACCAAGAAGCCCCGGCUACCUACGUGCCAGCAGCCGCGGUAAUACGUAGGGGGCAAGCGUUAUCCGGAUUUACUGGGUGUAAAGGGAGCGUAGACGGCAGGGCAAGUCUGGAGUGAAAGGCGGGGGGUCAACCCCCGGACUGCUCUGGAAACUGCCAGGCUGGAGUGCGGGAGAGGUAAGUGGAAUGCGUGGUGUAGCGGUGAAAUGCGUAGAUAUUAGGAGGAACACCAGUGGCGAAGGCAGCUUACUGGACUGUAACUGACGUUGAGGCUCGAAAGCGUGGGGAGCGAACAGGAUUAGAUACCCUAGUAGUC
rnacentral:rRNA from 1 species